GACGAACGCUGGCGGCGUGCCUAAUACAUGCAAGUUGAGCGCUGAAGGCUGGUACUUGUACCAACUGGAUGAGCAGCGAAGGGGUGAGUAACGCGUGGGGAAUCUGCCUGUGAGUGGGGGACAACAUGGGGAAACGAAUGCUAAUACCGCAUAAGAACUUUAAACACGGGGGUGGAGGGUGAAAGAUGCAAUUGGGUGACGCAAUCGUGAUCCCUCGGUGUGUUAGGAAGGUGGUGAGGUAAAGGCUCACCAAGGGGGUGAUACAGAGCCGAAGUGAGGGGGUGGUCGGCCGCCUUGGGAGUGAGACACGGCCCAAUCUGCUUAGGGAAGCAGCCGGAGGGAAUCUUGGGCAAUGGGCGGGAGUCUGUGCGAGCAACGCCGCGUGAGUGAAGAAGGUUUUCGGGUCGUAAAACUCUGUUGGUAGGGAAGAAAGUUCGUGAGACUGGAACGCUCAGCCAGUGACGGUAACUGCUCAGAAAGGGACGGCUAACUACGUG
rnacentral:rRNA from 1 species